AGUGCCAGGAAAACAUACUCGUUUUCCUGGCACUAUAGUGCCCUGAGGGUGCCCCCACCCUCAGGGCACUAUAGUGCCAGGAAAACGAGUAUGUUUUCCUGGCACUAUAGUGG
rnacentral:miRNA from 1 species